UACGUAGGCAGCAAGCGUUGUUCGGAGUUACUGGGCGUAAAGGGUGCGUAGGCGGUUGUUUAAGUUUGGUGUGAAAUCUCCCGGCUCAACUGGGAGGGUGCGCCGAAUACUGAAUGACUAGAGUGCGGGAGAGGAGAGUGGAAUUCCUGGUGUAGCGGUGAAAUGCGUAGAUAUCAGGAGGAACACCGGUGGUGUAGACGGCUCUCGUGGGCCGUAACUGACGCUGAGGCACGAAAGCGUGGGUAGCAAACAGG
rnacentral:rRNA from 1 species